GUUGUUGCAGUUAAAAAGCUCGUAGUUGAAUUUCGGGGUUAGUAGGUUGGUCAUGCCUCUGGUAUGUACUGGUCUCACUGAUUCCUCCUUCCUUAUGAACCGUAAUGCCAUUAAUUUGGUGUCACGGGGAAUUAGGACUGUUACCUUGAAAAAAUUAGAGUGUUUAAAGCAGGCUCACGCUUGAAUACAUUAGCAUGGAAUAAUGAAAUAGGACAUCCGAUUCUAUUUUGUUGGUUUCUAGGAUCGAUGUAAUGAUUAAUAGGGAUAGUUGGGGGCAUUAGUAUUCAAUUGUCAGAGGUGAAAUUCUUGGAUUUAUUGAAGACUAACUACUGCGAAAGCAUUUGCCAAGGAUGUUUUCAUUAAUCAAGAACGAAAGUUAGGGGAUCGAAGACGAUCAGAUACCGUCGUAGUCUUAACCAUAAACUAUGCCGACUAGGGAUCGGAUGAUGUUAAUUUUUUAAUGACUCAUUCGGCGCCUUACGGGAAAC
rnacentral:rRNA from 1 species